UACGUAGGGGGCAAGCGUUGUCCGGAUUUAUUGGGCGUAAAGAGCGUGUAGGCGGUUUGGUAGGUCCGCUGUGAAAACUCGAGGCUCAACCUCGAGACGCCGGUGGAAACCAUCAGACUAGAGUCCGGAAGAGGAGAGUGGAAUUCCUGGUGUAGCGGUGAAAUGCGCAGAUAUCAGGAGGAACACCAGUGGCGAAGGCGGUGCUCUGGGCCGGAACUGACGCUGAGGAGCGAAAGCGUGGGGAGCAAACAGG
rnacentral:rRNA from 1 species